AUUGACAGUCCGGUCUGUAACGAUUGACAAGUCCUGUGGAGGAGGCAGCAGAGACUCUGCUCUCCUCAUUUGGAUUAAUUCUGAUAUAAUAACUGUUGGUUUAUUUAUCGCUGCAGCAGCACAACAUUUUCCACAGACAGUUUUCCUGCCCGUUGGCUUGUUUUAACCAGUUUUCUGCCUUCGGCUGAUUCUACCAGCAGACACUGAAAUGACUCUGAUAGUUCGAGUGAAAGUAGCAGUUCCUCCUUAAGGUCAGAGAUUGCAGCAUCUGAGGGCCUCUUCAAAAGAAGACGUAGUUGAUGAAGGCGUUCUGGAGCAGGACCAGAAAGACCACGACCAAGCAGCCUUGAGAUCUUAGGCAGCGUCUCCCUCAGGUCCCUCUCUAUCUCCCCACACAUCCACCAACCACUGGAACACAUCUCCAAAGUUCUGCCGGGCCAGCUCAGCUUCCCCUCAGAAGAAGUGCCGCCACCUGACAGAUGAAGGAGCCUUUUGAGAGGCAGCUGGCGUCGUGAUUGGACUGUACUUUGGUCUGUUCCAAUCCAGCUUCAGCUCCAGAGACGGCAGGCGGGACGAGUCAACGGAGGCCGGGUGGACGAAGACAUGCAGCUGAGUACAAUCCAGAAAACAACAGAGGAGGAGUGCAGCAGCCCAGAGCCAGAACAAACAGAGUAGCAUCACCAAAGAACUACAGACUCUUCACAACCUGCUCAAACUCUUGGUACAGGACCUCACCACACGGGUCAAGAAGGUUUCCGUCUCAUUUCUACUCUGAAGCUCACCUUCUCCUGCUCAAACUGCUGACAAAUGUUUCUGCUGCUCUAAAGUCUGGUCUCCAGAACUUCCUAAAAACUCUCAAAGUCUCUUCUGCUGCAGGUUGCUUUGUAGAACUGUUCCAGAAAACCUCACUAAACCACAUGGAGGGGCCUCAAGAUAGUCGUCCAAAUGAAACCGUACGAAAACCAAACUAGUACAACCCAAACGCUAAAGUCUCCUGCAGCCUACCAGAGAACCUCUGAGAACAGAGAAUCAGGACAGGAACUCUUACCUUCUGGACAACCAACGUUGGUUCUCAAACAAGAAUACAGAAUGUGUCUGACCAAAAACCUCUAAAGACUCACUACAGCCAAGAUAAAGACACAACUCAGCUGGAGCAAAUCCACUAAUCACUGCACACAUUAGCACCAUGUGCUACCUGUGGCUAAAGAACCACAUUUACCAAGACAACUACCCAGUACAAAGCCCUGAGACACAUUAAAGACGAUUUUACUGCUGGAAGCUGCAAGCCAACGCCUAAAGAACAUACUAAAGCAACGGAGCCAAACCCGGUUCUGUGGUGAAGAGAAACAGAGGAAAUGUUUGUCUGCAGCUAAAUAAAGCAGGAAGACACUGAGCUGCUCAGGUGUUCCUGAUAACACCAAGCAGCCACCUGGACAGCCAAUAGGAACACAGCUUGCUGGAAGUCCAGAGGGCUGGGUUAGUGAAGGAAAUUUAAUUUAAAGUUGAAGCAGAAAGUU